rnacentral:rRNA from 1 species
AGAGUUUGAUCCUGGCUCAGGAUGAACGCUAGCGACAGGCCUAACACAUGCAAGUCGAGGGGCAGCGGAGAGGUAGCAAUACCUUUGCCGGCGACCGGCGCACGGGUGAGUAACACGUAUGCAAUCCACCUGUAACAGGGGGAUAACCCGGAGAAAUCCGGACUAAUACCCCAUAAUAUGGGUUCUCCGCAUGGAGGGUCCAUUAAAGAGAGCAAUUUUGGUUACAGACGAGCAUGCGCUCCAUUAGCCAGUUGGCGGGGUAACGGCCCACCAAAGCGACGAUGGAUAGGGGUUCUGAGAGGAAGGUCCCCCACAUUGGAACUGAGACACGGUCCAAACUCCUACGGGAGGCAGCAGUGAGGAAUAUUGGUCAAUGGGCGAGAGCCUGAACCAGCCAAGUAGCGUGAAGGAUGACUGCCCUAUGGGUUGUAAACUUCUUUUAUACGGGAAUAAAGUGAGGCACGUGUGCCUUUUUGUAUGUACCGUAUGAAUAAGGAUCGGCUAACUCCGUGCCAGCAGCCGCGGUAAUACGGAGGAUCCGAGCGUUAUCCGGAUUUAUUGGGUUUAAAGGGUGCGUAGGCGGCCUUUUAAGUCAGCGGUGAAAGUCUGUGGCUCAACCAUAGAAUUGCCGUUGAAACUGGGGGGCUUGAGUAUGUUUGAGGCAGGCGGAAUGCGUGGUGUAGCGGUGAAAUGCAUAGAUAUCACGCAGAACCCCGAUUGCGAAGGCAGCCUGCUAGGGUGCGACAGACGCUGAGGCACGAAAGCGUGGGUAUCGAACAGGAUUAGAUACCCUGGUAGUCCACGCAGUAAACGAUGAAUACUAACUGUUUGCGAUACAAUGUAAGCGGUACAGCGAAAGCGUUAAGUAUUCCACCUGGGGAGUACGCCGGCAACGGUGAAACUCAAAGGAAUUGACGGGGGCCCGCACAAGCGGAGGAACAUGUGGUUUAAUUCGAU